UGGAAAAAAAUUGAUAGCACCUGGGAUAAA
rnacentral:piRNA from 1 species